rnacentral:ncRNA from 1 species
AAAGGAUCGGGAUCCUCAAAGCUAGAGCCCGCAGCGAUACUGACGUGCAAAUCGUUCGUCUGACUUGGGUAUAGGGGCGAAAGACUAAUCGAACCGUCUAGUAGCU